rnacentral:rRNA from 1 species
AUUGAACGCUGGCGGCAUGCUUUACACAUGCAAGUCGAACGGUAACAGGCCGCAAGGUGCUGACGAGUGGCGAACGGGUGAGUAAUGCAUCGGAACGUGCCCAGUCGUGGGGGAUAACGCAGCGAAAGCUGCGCUAAUACCGCAUACGAUCUAUGGAUGAAAGCGGGGGACCGAAAGGCCUCGCGCGAUUGGAGCGGCCGAUGUCAGAUUAGGUAGUUGGUGGGGUAAAGGCUCACCAAGCCGACGAUCUGUAGCUGGUCUGAGAGGACGACCAGCCACACUGGGACUAAGACACGGCCCAGAGUCCUACGGGAGGCAGCAGUGGGGAAUUUUGGACAAUGGGCGCAAGCCUGAUCCAGCAAUGCCGCGUGCAGGAAGAAGGCCUUCAGGUUGUAAACUGCUUUUGUACGGAACGAAAAGGCUCUGGUUAAUACCUGGGGCUCAUGACGGUACCGUAAGAAUAAGCACCGGCUAACUACGUGCCAGCCGCCGCGGUAACAC